CCUACGGGAGGCAGCAGUAGGGAAUGUUCGGCAAUGGGGGGAACCCUGACCGAGCAACACCGCGUGAACGAAGAAGGUAUUCGAAAUGUAAAGUUCUUGUAACAGGGAAGAAAGAGAAAGUGGACGGUACCUGAAGAAUAAGCUCCGGCGAACUACGUGCCAGCAGCCGCGGGAAUACGGAGGGAGCGAGCGUGAUCCGGAAGGAUUGGGCGGAAAGGGGGCGUAGAUGGCAUAGUAAGUCUUUUGUAAAAAUGCUGGGCUCAACCCAGUAGGGCAAAAGAUACUGCAAAGCUAGAGUAUGCCAGAGGCAAGUGGUACUACAUGUGUAGCGGUCCCAUGCUUACAUAUAUGU
rnacentral:rRNA from 1 species